AUGAACGCUGGCGGCGUGCCUAAUACAUGCAAGUCGAGCGAACGGACGAGAAGCUUGCUUCUCUGAUGUUACCGGCGGACGGGUGAGUAACACGUGGAUAACCUACCUAUAAGACUGGGAUAACUUCGGGAAACCGGAGCUAAUACCGGAUAAUAUUUUGAACCGCAUGGUUCAAAAGUGAAAGACGGUCUUGCUGUCACUUAUAGAUGGAUCCGCGCUGCAUUAGCUAGUUGGUAAGGUAACGGCUUACCAAGGCAACGAUGCAUAGCCGACCUGAGAGGGUGAUCGGCCACACUGGAACUGAGACACGGUCCAGACUCCUACGGGAGGCAGCAGUAGGGAAUCUUCCGCAAUGGGCGAAAGCCUGACGGGGCAACGCCGCGUGAGUGAUGAAGGUCUUCGGAUCGUAAAACUCUGUUAUUAGGGAAGAACAUAUGUGUAAGUAACUGUGCACAUCUUGACGGUACCUAAUCAGAAAGCCACGGCUAACUACGUG
rnacentral:rRNA from 1 species